AACGAACGCUGGCGGCAUGCCUAACACAUGCAAGUCGAACGAGACCUUCGGGUCUAGUGGCGCACGGGUGCGUAACGCGUGGGAACCUGCCCUUAGGUUCGGAAUAACUCCCCGAAAGGGGUGCUAAUACCGGAUAAUGUCUUCGGACCAAAGAUUUAUCGCCUUUGGAUGGGCCCGCGUUGGAUUAGCUAGUUGGUAGGGUAAAAGCCUACCACGGCGACGAUCCAUAGCUGGUCUGAGAGGAUGAUCAGCCACACUGGGACUGAGACACGGCCCAGACUCCUACGGGAGGCAGCAGUGGGGAAUAUUGGACAAUGGGCGGAGGCCUGAUCCAGCAAUGCCGCGUGAGUGAUGAAGGCCUUAGGGUUGUAAAGCUCUUUUACCCGGGAUGAUAAUGACAGUACCGGGAGAAUAAGCGCCGGCUAACUCCGUG
rnacentral:rRNA from 1 species